CUGUUUUCUUCUCUGCUCUAUUUCCAAGACUUGACAAAGCCUUAGUAAAUACGUAAUAAAAAUUUGCUUAGUGACUAAUAUUUUAAUACACAAAGAGGUAUAGGGAUGGAGGGCGUGUUAUAAAAUGUGAAAAACUACAGAAUGAUUAAGAAAUGGGUUUUUCUAAUGGCAGGAUUAAAAUUACCUUACUCCAGAAAUUCUCUUAAACCAAUUUUAAAUGUCCAAAAAUUUAACUAGUUUAAAUCUUUAAAAGAGAAUUUCUAACUUGUUGAAAAGCAAGCACUAAGCAAGCACUUAGCAAGCACUAAGUACAUUAUUUAUUUAUUUUGGUCUUUUUGCCUUUUCCAGGGCCGCUCCUAGGUCCCAGGCUAGGGGUCUAAUUGAGCUGGCUUACACCACAGCUCACAGCAACGCCAGAUCCUUAACCCGCUGAGUAAGGCUAGGGAUCGAACCGCAACCUCAUGGUUCCUAGUCGGAUUCGUUAACCACUGAGCCACGAUGGGAACUCCAAGCACUAAGUACAUUAUAGAAUGUUUGUAUACAGAUGUAAAUGAGGAAGUAAAAGAGAAAAAAGGAAACAGCCCUAAAAAUACACACAUACAUGCGUGUAUACACAGAACUGGUUCAUGUUCUCUGCCUCCCUCCCUCUCUUUUAUCCCUUCCCUCCCUCUGUCCCCCUCUUUCCCUCCCUUUUCUCUUUCUCUUUGUCCCCCUCUCUCUCUGGUUGCCAGAAGUCUUACUUACUUAAUCUUUUUGGGUGUAUGGACCAGUUCAAAUGUUCUGUGCUACUCUAAUUGGUACACUCUUUUCAGAAAGUUGUCCAUCUACCACCAGUCCACUUUGCAUUUUGAUCUUCUUGUGCUUCCAGGUUGGGAGGAAGGAGGGAUUUAUGAGGGAUCGCCUGUCUCCCUAUGAUUGUAGCCACCAUGAUUUAAGUAGUAGCAGUGACCAGAGGAAGCCAUGCCUGAGUUAGGAGUCUGAAAAGCACACAGAGUUAUAAAUUAAUAGGCAUAUGUGCCAUGAGGCAAAGCUACAAGGUCUGAUCCCUAAUUUAACACCUGUCAGCUGCACUUCUUGCACCCGUGUACAUAACAUUGCCUCUGUGUAGAGCCUAGAAUGUGUCUUCAAAUUGGGCUUUUGAAAAUUAACAUCAACCUCAUAUCUAUCUGAGAGAAGUGAGUCUUUAGUUUUGGUUUGUUUUAAGGAAAAAAAAAAAAAGACCCUGACUUCAAUAAACUAUUGGCAAAAAAUGACACCAUGAAUAUGUGAGUGAAGACAGAAUGGUCUUCGAUUGAAAUGCUGUGAAACACGCACCAAGCUUGACCUGUUGGGCUAUUGGUGAACAAUAUAGAAAUGUCUGAAUUGUGACUAUAUGUUUAACUGUGAUUCACGGGAAAGCCCAGUGGGACUCUAAUAACUCUUGACAAUGGGUGGUUUUUCUUUUCAUUUUACAGUAGUGGGCUGUGGUAGUAACCUGCAAAGUUGUUUUGUCGGUGGGAUACAAGCAGCAUUGAACAGUGAGAUGAAUACAGAUGCCUAAAAGCUUAAUCCUGAACAAUGCUGAAGGUCUUUAUGUUUAUGGGAAGCUCAAAGGAUGGAAAGAAAAUCUUUUAACUUUUUAAAAAGAUUGGCAUCCUGGUUAUAGGUAUAUGAGUAGAAUAGCACAGUUUUAGACUCUGUUAAGUUUUCAUAGCAGAGUAGUUGAAAAUGUAGCACUGCGCUUCAUUUAACUAUGGAUAUUUGACAUUUUAAAGGACUGGGUGACAGAAGAUUUUUUUUUUUUUAAAUAGAAAUUGCCUUAGUAAAUGUGAACACUUUGCUAAGUGGCUUAUCAUGAAAUUUGCCAAACCUCUGAAAAAGUGAUAGUUCGAAAUGAGGUUGAGAGAGUAAAUCUGACCAGGAUGUCCUAUUUUGUUGGUUUGGCUGCUUUGAUUAAAACCUUCUGUGAGGCAAUGGCCCUUGCGUGAUAGGCCCAGAUGCAAAUUAAGACGACGACAGUGUGUUGACCUACUAAACAAAAAGCACAACGGCUCUGUAACUAUGAACAGAAACAGUUACUUCACUGCUUAGUUAAAAUUGCACACCCAACCCCCUAAAAGGGGGGAAAAAAAAACCCUUUCAGCGGUGGCCCCUUUUGGGCAUAUGUAAAUCCCUUCAUGGAAAGUUAAAAAACCCCAGGAAAUCCCACCUGUGAAUGAUUGUAGUAUUUAACCCUGAGGUUAGUUUCUAUAAUGCUCAUUUCAUGAAAAGCCUCCCCCACCCCCAUUUUUAGUGGUUAGUUUGUAUAAAGGAAGCUCAAGACUCUAAGCCUGAAAAACCACAAUUUUCCCAAACAGGCAGGACUUCUAGCAAAAUAGUGUGAAAGCGACAGGGUUAACAGGUUAAAGUCAUUAUUCAGACAAACUCAAACUCAAAGUUUCUAAGUAUGAUGGCAUAGGUGAUAACCUCAGAGUCCUUUGAAUGAGUUUUUGCACUAGGCGCAUAAUAAAUAUAUCUAUGUGAUUAGCAUAAUCAUUAACCUGUUUCUGGUAUGCAUAUUCUGUAUUUAUGUUGCAAAGCCCCCAAUGCCUCCUUUGUCUCUGCAUGAGACAAUUUAAGUGAGUUGCUGGUAUAAGGACACUGCAACAUUUUCAGGUCACAUGUUUGGCAGUUUAACUCAAGAAAAGUUGAACACAAUGUUUUUUUCAUUAAUUCUAUUUUUUGAAACCAUAGUUUUAUACAAAACUGUUUAAUCUGUCUUCUGGUGGUACAGUGUUUACAACAGAAAGGUUGUAUGUUAAAUGGUUGACUUUUCAAGCAACUCAAACACCUGGUGAGCAUAAAUCUUUUAAUAGUAAUGUCACUCCAUUAACUCCUUUGUUACCAGAACUUCUGAAAUCCCUUUGCUAAAGAGUUGGAGAGUGACUGGCCAUAUAAACCCUAAAUAUUGCAUAGCCACAAAAAUUAAGAAAUACUGUUUAUGUUAGUACAUGAGACUUUAUUAGGAACAAAAUCAAGUCGUUUCUGGGCUUCAGGUUAUUAAUCUCAUUGUCAAGUAGUCUGUUUAGUUUAUGAGUUCAUUUUCCCAUUUCUGAAUUCCAUAUCCAUGUACACUAAUGAUUUCCAUAUUGGAAGUAAUUUCUUGGAUGGAGGAAAAUAGCUUUUCCUACUGUCAAAAAAGUCCAAAAUAAUAAAUAUGGAAGCACAAGGAAAAGAGAGAUACACCUUGAAAUAUUUUUGCUUAGGGAAAUAGUUACAUUUUUACCUUGUGUGUAAUGAACACUCUAUACAGAGUUAGGUUGGAACAUGAAUGUAUUUUUUUGUAUAGUCUGUUAUAUAAUGUUAAUUAAAUGCAGUCAGUUGUUUUAGUCUCUUAAUGAUGCUUACGUUCUGUCUGUAGGAAUCAGUUUUGGUUAUAAAAGUUAAAAGGGACAAAUGUUAAUUGCAUUCUGAUAAAGUGCAGAAUGAUUUGAAGUAGAAUUCUACUGUGUACGUUUAUAUAACAUAAAUAUUUGCAUAAAUACUGUUCAAGUAUAUAUAAAACCGAUAGAGACUAUGCUAUCAUAGGAGCCAUAGUUUCAUACUUUCAUUCAUCUAUUCAUUCAUUCAUUAUACAAACAUUUAAUGAAUGUCUGCUUUGUUUCUGGCACACAUCUGGGUUCUAGAGAUGCCGAAUACCUAUCAAAGAGGUGGUCCAGUAUCCAACACAGAGGGCCUAUUUGAAAUUAUAUAAGCCAAAAACUGAUCAAGAUGACCAAGAGAAUAACCUCUUUUUGAUUCUCAAUACAUAUCUUAACGCUGACAUGACUCCUAGAGAAAAUUUUCUCAUACUUUUAAUUGCUAUAUAUAUUUUGCAGAAGCUUAUUAAUUUAAACAUGAUAUAUUCAGAGCUUUCUCUAUGCCAAGUAUCACAGUGGGUGUUAAAAUUCUAGGCCAAAGGCUAAAUUGAAUAUAUCUUGUUAAAAUCCACUUCCUUGGUCAGAAAUGUGCAGUUCUUUCAGUUUGCAGUUCUUGAAAUAAUUUGCUUAGUUAGACAUUUACAGUGUAAUGAGGGCCAUGGGCAUGUAAACAAAUAGUUUAAUGUGAUGUGAAAAGAGCUCUGACUGCUCUGUGAGCUUAUUCAUAAAGGAUAUGGUAACCAGCUUUGUCUAAGGCUAUUAGGGGAGACUUUUCACAAAAAGUUGAUUUUUGACCUGGGCUUUGAAAGCUGAGUGGAGGGCACUUGCGACCUUAAGAGUUGGCAAAUACCAAGGCUCAGAGGUAUGAAGGUAAACAGCCAGUUCGGGCAGCUGUGGGUUGUUUAGCGUGAUCUUAGUGGAGGUAGUUACUUAGAGAAGCAGGAGGGCUACUUCAUACUAUUUCCUUCUGAUAGUCACAGGCUGUCUCCUAAACCCUUCAUUCUUUUUUUUUUUUUUUCCUUUUUAAGGUCCCACCUAUGGCAUAUGGAAGUUCCAGGGCUAGGAGUCAAAUCAGAGCUGCAGCUAUAGGUCUAUGCCAUAGCCUCAGCCAUGCCAGAUCUAAGCCACAUCUAUGACCUACACCACAGCUUGCUGCAACACUGGAUCCUUAACCCACUUCGUGAGGCCAGGGAUUGAACCUGCAUCCUCAUGGACACGGUAUCAGGUUCUUAACUCACUGAGACACAAUUGGGACUCCUCAACCUUUUAAAUUCACUUUUUCUCAGCUAAACCAGUGCUAUGAAGGGGUAGUAAUAGUUAGUGGCACUCUUGGCUUCUAAUUCAGAGAGACUUUUGUCAUGUUCCCUGCUGAAAGUUCUCUUUUAAAUAUCAACACUUUUUUGAGUUCCCUUCGUGGCUCAGUGGUUAAUGAAUCCAACUAAGAACCAUGAGGUUGUGGGUUCAAUCCCUGGCCUCGUGCGUUAAGGAUCUGGUGUUGCUGUGAGCUGUGGUGUAGGUCACAGACAUGGCUCAGAUCCUGCGUUGCUGUGGCUCUGGUGUAGGCCAGAGGUUAUAGCUCUUAUUUGACCCCUAGCCUGGGAACCUCCAUAUGCCAUGGGUGCAGCU
rnacentral:lncRNA from 1 species